UACGUAGGGUGCAAGCGUUGUCCGGAUUUAUUGGGCGUAAAGAGCUCGUAGGCGGUUUGUCGCGUCGGAUGUGAAAACCCAGGGCUCAACCCUGGGCCUGCAUUCGAUACGGGCAGACUAGAGUAUGGCAGGGGAGACUGGAAUUCCUGGUGUAGCGGUGAAAUGCGCAGAUAUCAGGAGGAACACCUGUGGUGUAGACGGCUUUCUGGACCGUAGCUGACGCUGAGACACGAAAGCGUGGGUAGCAAACAGG
rnacentral:rRNA from 1 species